CCUGGGUUCAAUUCCCAGGACAACAAUAAUUAAAAUAAUAACAAUGAUAAAGUAGGAGCUGUCAGGAAGGAGAAUGGCCGGUGGGCAUUGGACACUCAGCACUGUGUGCCACGCCCACUGCUCCUGACCCCACAGCUCACUCUGAUGCCCCGUCCUGGGUCCACCCAGGUCCUCCCUGCAGCCACCCAGCCCAGCCUGCCCAAGGUCCUGAAUCACAAGCAGAAAGAACGAGGGGCAGGUGAGACCCCCACCAGCCCCCCUCAGGAUAGGAGGGACAGGAGGGUGGGGGAGCCCCACCCAGGGGGUCUGGCCAAAGCCUGAUGCCGGGGAGACGCAGGAGACUCCGGACACUGAUGUGCCCUCUGCUCCCAUCCGGACUCCACCGGACUCCUUGCAUUUCUUGUGCCUCUUAAGUCAAGUGUCUUCUCUAGAAAACAGGAUGGAGCCGGCUCCCCGGCCUUCAGGGGCUGAUGGGGGAUGGGGGACAGGGACUGCCGGGCGCGGGGCUGACCUUCUGCAGCGGGCUGAGGCUGUGGCCAGGAGCCUGCUUGCCAGGUUGAUCUGAAGUCACAGUUGCUUGUUCUCGGUCUCGGGCACAAGAGCCAAGCACUGGGCCAACAGCAGGCCUUCCCUCCCCACUGGCCACGUGGGAUCAUGGACAGCCAG
rnacentral:lncRNA from 1 species